UGCUUUAGUGUUCAUGUAAACAGUUUCUCUUCUCUGUUGGUCUCCCUCUCCUCUUGACCAGAUCAAUUGAAAGCCGAACAACCAUCCAGUCCAUCGAAAGUGACAGGUCAAAAGACGAUACCAUUGAUUUCAAAGACAGUCAGCUAAAUCUGUGGUAAGUUGCUCUUAAAUUUAUCCAUUUUUACCUGGUUUAACUGACUGUAGUGGGAGUGGAUGGGCUAAACCUGUGCUUUGUGAUAUCAAAUUAUAUGGUUGUUAAAAUUAUGUGGUUAUUGGACAUGGAAAAAUGUUAAAACUCUUCUUGUAUGUUGGUUUUUAUCUUUCUUCCAGAGUCACUCCUCCAAGUUCAGCUCCUAUGGCCCCCUUGUCUCCUAAAGAGAAGUAAGCUUCCUAAAGUUAACGCUGCUUUGUUAAAGGAGCGUCCUGUAGAGUCAAAUAUGACAUCCUUAAUUAUACACAGUACAUAACUUUAUCUUGUACUUCAAAUCAAAUCACUUCCUUUAUUGUUGUGGUAAUCCCUGCAGUAAUCAUUUCUCAUUGCAGGUUUCAGAAUUUCUUCAGAAAUCUUGGCUUCAAAAGGAAUCGAUGAAACAUCUAAUUUUCCACCUCAGUGUUUUCAUAAACAACGGGAUGGUUCGAAUUAUUAUAGCCACUCGAGUCCACUGAUACGGUGUUAAUAUAGUUUCUAAUGUGCAUCACAGUCCUGUAAAAACAAGGUUAAAAAGAUCAUAACAUCUGAACACAGCAUUAUGUUUCCAUGACGUAUAAUACUGCACCACUGAGCAUCAACCUCCAUUUUUGAAAAAGCUGCAGUUCCUUGCGUCCCCACUAGAGGCUGUUUCAGAAAGAAAACAAAGACCUGAUACAGCACAUAAUAAAACGCCCAAUCUUCACAGCAGGGAUUAACACAUAGCUGUCAAGUUUCCAGUUUUGGCCGAGAAACUACCGUAUUUUUCCCCUCUUCCCGACGUCUUCCCGUAUUAGCAUUCUCCUGGAAAUCGCCCGUAUUAUUAAAUAUGUAUAUAAAACAUUCUGCCUCUCCAAACUGAACUCUGUGACUAGCGCUUGUUACGUACCCACCAACUCGUAGUAGUGAGUAGUCAUCUGUGAAUCACACAGACAAUAAACUAACCCGAUAAUUUCCCUUAUUUACAGAACAAAAACUUGACAGGUAUGGAUUAACAUGUUUACAGCAAUUUCAAUGUAAAUCAAUUAUUUUUAUAUUAUCAACUUAUAGAGAGAGGUGAAUUUUUGUGUACUGUAAAUCCCCUAAAAUAAGAUAAGAUAUUCUUUUAUUAGUCCCACAGAGGGAAAUUCCAAAUAUAUGGGCCGGGUCCUGUGUUUGCCUCUGCUCUCCAGGAUACCAGGCCUUUAAACGAAGCAGGUUUGUAUUAUAGGCGGGCCUUUCUUUUAUCUUCUCUGAGUCUGAGAACUGUAAUUGUUCAUAUUAAAGUACAAAGUCGGAGCCUUGUUAACAAAAGACUUCACUCUCCUGCUGUAUCGAUGACAAGAAACUAAGACCAUAAAAAAACAGACAAAGCUUAAAUGAGGUCAGGUUUUUUCUCUCUUGUGUUUCCAGUUAGUCAUUUUUUGUAAAAAGGAGUCUCCCCCUGCUGGCCAUGGAAAAGAAGGACAGGUUAUAGACGUCUCGCUUUUGAAUCUUAAAAGGGAACAUCCACUGCUGAUCCAGAUCAAGUUGCUGUUUUCAUAAAUUUCCAACUUAAACAGCUAAAAAAAUAUGUACAUUGUUUAUUUUGAUGAAAUUGCACUCGUGUUUACUUUUCUUUUGUUUACUUUGGUGAGAGUAAGUUCUGAAGUUUCUGAAAUAUAUUUACAUUUUCAUUGUGUGAAGAGAACAAAAGAUUUAAAAAAGAAAAAUCUAACUAGAAUGCUACUGUGCUACUGACAGCUACACUACAGUAUGAUAUUACUCACCUUUUUAAUGUCUUACUGCUGUAAUCUGAAUUUAAUAUGAUUUAGUUUCAUUUUAUUCAUUUUUUAUUUGUCAAAGUUACAGAAAAGAAAAUGUAACUUAUUUGUGGUGUUGUUUAAUUCUUUCGUAAAGAGUGUAUCUUUGUUCGCAGACAUAGUUGUUUAUAGUAUAUUUUUCUGGUUCUGUUAUAAAAGCAUCUUAAUGAACUAUGCGACUGUCUUAAUCUCAUUGAUAUCCCUGGGUCAUUUCAUUUUAUUCAAGUCUAUUAGGUGCUGGGUUUACAGCAGCUGUUUUUGUCGCCAUAUCAAGUUCAUCAUCUGGUUUCAUUUUGAUAUACUCAUUUUUUACAGCUGGCUGUAAAUGUCAUAUCUUCUCGCUUCAACCAAACCCCGUAAAGACCAAAGUCCUCUCAGUUAUUAAAGAUUGUGAGAGACUUCACUUUUCACUUUUCCUCAGCAGAGACACCGUGUUUCUCGCAGACAGGUAAUACAGCUUUGCAUUUGUAAGACUUAAUCAUAACAAAAUCUUUUGUACAGGAUCUGUGUAUCAGCGCUGAGUUUUUUUGGUCUUCUUAUACACCUGAAAUGAUCAUAUUAUGACUUCUCUGUAAGUUUGGGUUUGGGUUUACCAGCUGAAUAGUUUUGUUUGUCUUUCUCUUGUGAUGCAGUUUUUUCCUACCAUCUUUAACUAUUUUUAACAGGAGUUAGUAUAUCCAAAAACUGUUUAUAGUUAAAUCUUGAAAUCAAACACUGGAGAUGACAUUGAUCAAAAAAACAAUAACAUUAAAUAAAAACACAAGGGUAAACAAUGACUGGAAUUUACAAAAGACACUGAAAGGCUUUUUCUAUUUUCAGGUUUAG